UACGAAGGGGGCUAGCGUUGCUCGGAAUCACUGGGCGUAAAGGGUGCGUAGGCGGGUUUUUAAGUCAGGGGUGAAAUCCUGGAGCUCAACUCCAGAACUGCCUUUGAUACUGAGAGUCUCGAGUCCGAGAGAGGUGAGUGGAACUGCGAGUGUAGAGGUGAAAUUCGUAGAUAUUCGCAAGAACACCAGUGGCGAAGGCGGCUCACUGGCUCGGUACUGACGCUGAGGUGCGAAAGCGUGGGGAGCAAACAGG
rnacentral:rRNA from 1 species